ACAUGCCUUCGGCCCUCCUUGCGUGAUUCAUAAUAACUUAACGAAUCGCAUGGCCUUGUGCCGGCGAUGAGGUUCAUUCAAAUUUCUGCCCUAUCAACUUUCGAUGGUAUGGUCUUGGCUUACCAUGGUUUCAACGGGUAACGGGGAAUUAGGGUUCUAUUCCGGAGAGGGAGCCUGAGAAACGGUACCACAUCCAAGGAAGGCAGCAGGCGCGCAAAUUACCCAAUCCCGACACGGGGAGGUAGUGACAAUAAAUACUGAUACAGGGCUCUUUUGGGUCUUGUAAUUGGAAUGAGUACAAUUUAAAUCCCUUAACGAGGAACAAUUGGAGGGCAAGUCUGGUGCCAGCAGCCGCGGUAAUUCCAGCUCCAAUAGCGUAUAUUAAAGUUGUUGCAGUUAAAAAGCUCGUAGUUGAACCUUGGGUCUGGUUGGCCGGUCCGCCUCACCGCGUGCACUGGUCCGACCGGAUCUUUCCUUCUGAGGAGCCGCAUGCCCUUCACUGGGUGUGUCGGGGAAUCAGGACUUUUACUUUGAACAAAAUUAGAGUGUUCAAAGCAGGCCUUUGCUCGAAUACCAUUAGCAUGGAAUAAUAGAAUAGGACGGUUUCCUAUUUGUGGUUUCUAGGGGGAAGCCGUAAUGAUUAAUAGGGACAGUCGGGGGCAUCAGUAUUCAUUUGUC
rnacentral:rRNA from 1 species